UUCUUUGCUGAUCAUAACACUUGUGGUAUUCAUUGAAUUAAAGUGCUGAAAUGUAGAAAGCUGAAGUGCCCAACAACAUGGAAGCCAACGUCUCAUUUGCUCUGGCAGAAGUUAUAUGGUUGUUCCUGGAUGAUACAUGGCAAGGUUUUGCCUUUGGCUUGCUUUGUUGGUCUUGCAUGCCUUCUUGCUGAGGUCCUAUUGAUCGAGUGAGGCCUACUUUUCUAAAAGGAUGCCCACCUCCCAUUUGCUUUUUCUCAAAUUCUUAAUGAAAGACUGCCGAACAUCAUGUUGGCAUUGUCUGAUGCUUCUAAAUCUAUGAAUUUAUAGGUUGUUUGACCUCU
rnacentral:lncRNA from 1 species